rnacentral:rRNA from 1 species
GACGAACGCUGGCGGUGUGCUUCACACAUGCAAGUCGAACGGGGUAGCAAUACCUAGUGGCGGACGGGUGAGUAACGCGUGGGAAUCUGCCUUGAAAUGGGGGAUAGCAAGCCGAAAGGUUUAUUAAUACCGCAUAUGAUUACAUCAAGACAUUUUUUGUAAUUGAAAGGAGCAAUCCGUUUCAAGAUGAGCCCCGCGUCCGAUUAGCUAGUUGGUAGGGUAACGGCCUACCAAGGCGACGAUCGGUAGGUGGUCUGAGAGGAUGAUCACCCACAAUGGGACUGAGACACGGCCCAU